GACGAACGCUGGCGGCGUGCUUAACACAUGCAAGUCGAACGGUAAGGCCCUUCGGGGUACACGAGUGGCGAACGGGUGAGUAACACGUGGGUGAUCUGCCCUGCACUUCGGGAUAAGCCUGGGAAACUGGGUCUAAUACCGGAUAGGACCACUGCCUGCAUGGGUGGUGGUGGAAAGCUUUUGCGGUGUGGGAUGGGCCCGCGGCCUAUCAGCUUGUUGGGGGGGUGAUGGCCUACAAAGGCGACGACGGGUAGCCGGCCUGAGAGGGUGACCGGCCACAAUGGGACUGAGAUACGGCCCAGACUCCUACGGGAGGCAGCAGUGGGGAAUAUUGCACAAUGGGCGCAAGCCUGAUGCAGCGACGCCGCGUGAGGGGUGACGGCCUUCGGGUUGUAAACCUCUUUCAGCACCGACGAAGCGCAAGUGACGGUAGGUGCAGAAGAAGGACCGGCCAACUACGUGCCAGCCGCCGCCGUAA
rnacentral:rRNA from 1 species